rnacentral:rRNA from 1 species
UACGGAGGGGAGCUAGCGUUAUUCGGAAUUACUGGGCGUAAAAGCGCACGUAGGCGGCUUUGUAAGUUAGAGGGUGAAAAGCCCUGGAGCUCAACUCCAGAAUUGCCUUUAAGACUGCAUCGCUUGAAUCCAGGAGAGGUGAGUGGAAUUCCGAGUGUAGUGGUGAAAAUGCGUAGAGGAUCGGCAGGAACACCCCAGGGGGAAACCAGCCGACUGGGCAUCUGCUGACGCUGAGGUGCGAAAAGCGUGGGG